rnacentral:rRNA from 1 species
AGAGUUUGAUCCUGGCUCAGAACGAACGCUGGCGGCAUGCCUAACACAUGCAAGUCGAACGCUAUUUAUAGAGUGGCGCACGGGUGAGUAACGCGUGGGAACCUGCCUUUUUCUGCGGGAUAACGGUUGGAAACGACCGCUAAUACCGCAUACGCCCUACGGGGGAAAGGUCCGCCGGAGAAAGAGGGGCCCGCGUCUGAUUAGCUUGUUGGUAGGGUAAUGGCCUACCAAGGCGACGAUCAGUAGCUGGUCUGAGAGGAUGAUCAGCCACACUGGGACUGAGACACGGCCCAGACUCCUACGGGAGGCAGCAGUGGGGAAUAUUGGACAAUGGGGGCAACCCUGAUCCAGCAAUGCCGCGUGUGUGAUGAAGGCCUUAGGGUUGUAAAGCACUUUCACUGGUGAAGAUGAUGACGGUAACCAGAGAAGAAGCCCCGGCUAACUUCGUGCCAGCAGCCGCGGUAAUACGAAGGGGGCUAGCGUUGUUCGGAAUUACUGGGCGUAAAGCGCACGCAGGCGGCUCGUUAAAUUAGAAGUGAAAGCCUUGGGCUCAACCUGAGAAUUGCUUUUAAGACUGGCGAGCUAGAAUCCAGAAGAGGGUGGUGGAAUUCCUAGUGUAGAGGUGAAAUUCGUAGAUAUUAGGAAGAACACCAGUGGCGAAGGCGACCACCUGGUCUGGGAUUGACGCUCAUGUGCGAAAGCGUGGGGAGCAAACAGGAUUAGAUACCCCAGUAGUCAGUACU